CGGUAUCGAAAAUACCGGUGCAGUCAUCAAGCCGUCACUAGGGGGUUCUAACGAUAUUAUCGGACUCAGUGCUGUACCGGACUCAAUACCUUGCUAGAAACGUUAGGCCCUUUAACAAGAUUCCGACUCGUGACCUAGACAAGUCUCCAGGUCUGGCCAGAAACUUCGAAUUUGCUCAGCUGUCGCCAAGGCAUACGUUACUUGGCUGGCUUCCUCCGGAACCCAAUGUGGAGGGCCAUCUCACUUAUAAUGUCCAGUAUGGCGAGACAGAAGUCAUUGAAGACAUACCUGGGAAACAACCUCACGAAGAAUACCACGUAUCCAAUGAGUAUUCGUGCUGGCGUGGUGCUGAAAAAUGGCACUAAACUGUAUGGGCCACCACUGAACAAUUCGUUUACCACGCUCGUGGAAGAUUAUGCUCCAGCAACGAAUAUCCGUCUCGCGCACACCUAUUCGAGCCGGCGAAGCCAUCCAGCCUAGAGUAACUACGCCUCGUACAGGAUCGCGUGGAGAGCCGAGCGAGGACCGAAGGACGUCGACAAUUUCACCGUGCUCAUAUGCCUGAAAACUAGCUGUGUCAUUACUAAAACACAGAAAAAUCAAACAUUAUGCUCCAGCCUUCUCGAACGUACGAUAUCAGAAUUCAAUCAAACUACCAUCUUCCUCUGAACCAGAUGCGUCAAGAAGAGUCUUAAUAUCGUUCACCACAGAUGCGACUUCAGACACUAAAGCGCCAGAAGCUCCAAAAAACUUGCAAUUUACUCCGUUGACAUUAACGAAUGUGCUACUCCGUUGGGAUCCUUCAUAUUCGUAGGACAAUGCUGACGUUUCUUAUGAUAUAAAAUUCGCUGGUAGACUGAUUAAAGGCUAGACGGCAACAACGUUUACGGCAUUCAAUUUGAAGAAGAGAAAUAAAAAGUAUUCGGUUGUUAGUACUCCAUUCGUAACGUUGAAAAAUGGCAAAAAACUAUAUGGACCAGCACUUCACAGCACGUCCAUCACGCUUUCAAAAGAGUACAGCGUCUUGUCAUCGAAAGCAAAAAAUUUCGUUACAUAUUUGAUUUCCUGGCAGACCGAGCAGGAACCAAGACUACUAGAUAACUUCACCGUGUUUGCAUGUUACACGAGGAUAAACUGUACGUCUGAGCUGACCAAGCAUACGUCUUGACAUGAGGCCUCAAUAUCCUCGAAGGUUCAGAACAUAUUCGGUUAGUGUCGUUGCAAAAUUAAAGGCUGAACUUGGCGAACGAACGUAUGGACCGCCGCUGAACGGCUCUUUUACCGCAGUCGUUGAAGAUUUUUUUUUACAGAUUACCCUUAUAUGUCAAACGUUAAUAUUUUUGGCCUGGUCAGGUUUAUAAACUGGGUAAAAUUCACGGUGGAGUGGAAACUUCUCAGCUCCACGCGGCGACCAAAUGGAUAUAUCGUGUAUUCUAUAUGGGAGAGACAUUCAGAUCGCGAAAACGCCAGCAGUAAGCUACAGAGGAAGUCGUCUGCUCGUCAGUCACGCAGUUCAGCCCUUCGAACUAAGUAUAAUGGACCGUCAAUAGCACAAAGCCACACUGACGUGUUUGUGAAAUAUUUCCGGUUAUUAUUCCGGUCAUUUCAGCGAGAUAAGGCCGUGUUCAGAAAUGUAUCGACAAGGGUUAACAUCCUUGCAAUAGAGCCGGGUCCUGUAUGGAGGAUUAGCACUAAUGCUACUUCUAGUAGAGCAACGCUCGUGUGGAAACGUCCCAAAAACGUACCACACGAGAUCAUUUGUCACAUCAUCGAUGCUAAAAGUCACAUCAACUUAGCGUUAUAUCUAUAUGAAAGUAACAUUUGAAAAUCAGGAUUUCGACGGGGUUUCGCAAGCCUUCGAUUUUAAAACAGACGUUGGAGUUCCUGGCGCCGUGCAGGAACUGUACGCAUGUCGGCGGGAUGCACUGGCAUAGUAAGUGUACGUUGGAAUUCCCCUGAUAAAAGCACGGCCAAUGGGCCAAUCAGCUAUUACAUAGUGCAAGGCUACAGCGAGAAUCAAAUAUUAUUAAUUGAUGUUAACUUCAUGGAAACUAUUGCUUAGGGAGUCCUAUUUUAUUGGCUAGAUUUAAUGUUUGUUUACAUCUAAGUUCUAUGAAUCUUCUCAUGACCUAUUUGUUAUUAAUGAUAUUUGACAACGUCUGCUACUUAUCACUAUAGGUCUACUGGAAAUUUCUAGAUUCAUUGAAUUUAUGUAUUACAUGAAUGUGUGACAAUGUUCUCUUAUGCAUCGGCCAGUAGAAUCGUUUUAUCAUGUUAAUAUCACUCACUAGUGAACAUGCGGUGCACUUACGGUGACUGUCGAUUGCAGUAUACCAGCGUAUAGCGUUCUAUCUUGAACGAUGAUACCAUUGCGGCCUAAUAGAUGCACCGUAUUAUAUAUAUACCCUACCACAUAUGAAACUCCUAUAUAUAUACUUCUCCUUAUGUUGCCUAAACGAAGCCCUAAACGAUCUCCGGCAGAUAUUUGCUGUUAACGCGAAAUGCUCGAAACCGGGCGUAGGUGUUGUUUGAUAGAAUGGCCCCGCUGUCUCAAGAAUAGUUUUAUCGAAACGAAACAUAAACGUUUAGGACACACUGACGUACCUAUUUGCGUGGGGCCAUACAUAGAUCCUCAAUAGGUAGAAAAAAACGCUGCUCUUUUGGCUCCAUAUACCGCUCUGGUGUAUCUUUGUCUGUUCGCCAUUUGAGAAAAGUGGUUGACGGUAGAAAUGUAACGGUGGAACUGCAGAAUCCUGCAGUUAACGCGAACUAUAUUAAUAGUCAGCGCAGUAAAUGUCAAUCGGAAGAACAAAUCAGUCGUUGGAAAGAAUACCUCUAUUCUGAUCGAGAAUUUAAAUUCUAGUGAGUAAUCCUAUAGAACCAUUUCCACUUAAAGGGGGGGGGGGCUUAAGCUAGCGUCAUUAAAUCGCGGCAAAGGCAUAUGCCAUACGCGAGCUAUAAACAAACUUGUCUGGUCCAGUUGAGCCGAUACUGGUGGAAAAAUUAAUUGGUAAUCCUCCCACUAUUUAUAGAAUUUUGUUUAAAAGAAAAUUUGUCCAGUAUUCGUUAGCGCUCGUUGUGAGCUUUAGCGCCGAUAGCUGGCAAACGACAAUAAUGCCGGUGACACAAUGGCAAGCGAUCUGGAAACGUUUGAUGACUAGGGAUUUGAAUACCGUUUACGCUCAAAUGUAAAAUCUAAAUAUUUAAGAAGUGCAAUACCUCGACUGGAUAUGCAGAAAUUUUACUUACAGCUCUUCUAGCUUCUGACACGUUUAUUUCCAUAGAUUUCCAAUCUAUAUCUAUCUAUAUUCAAUCUAUGCACUAGAUAAAUAUAAUCUUGUAUAAAAAAAAAUGUUGUUUCACAUCAGCUUUCAUAAUAAGAAGCUGACAAUUUCUUGUAGAGUGUUUACCUCAUUCCGAGGUAGCACGUCUCAUAAAACGCACUAGCAAAUCGCUAUAUAUCGAGAUCCAUACGCCUAGCUUGAUGUAU